rnacentral:rRNA from 1 species
AUACGUAGGGGGCGAGCGUUGUCCGGAAUGAUUGGGCGUAAAGGGCGCGUAGGCGGCUUUGCAAGUCAGUAGUGGAAGUCCAUUUUUCAAGGAUGGAAGUGCUACAGAAACUGCGGAGCUUGAGUGCAGGAGAGGUUAUCGGAAUUCCCGGUGUAGCGGUGAAAUGCGUAGAGAUCGGGAGGAACACCAGUGGCGAAGGCGGGUAACUGGACUGCAACUGACGCUGAGGCGCGAAAGUGUGGGGAGCAAACAGGAUUAGAUACCCUGGUAGUCCACACUGUAAACGAUGAAUGCUAGGUGUAGGAGGUAUCGACCCCUUCUGUGCCGCAGUAAACACAGUAAGCAUUCCGCCUGGGGAGUGCGGUCGCAAGAUUAAAACUUAAAGGAAUUGACGGGG